rnacentral:lncRNA from 1 species
GUGUGUUUGCUUUAAUACAUUAAAAAGAUUACCAUAAAAUGCAUGACCCAUUUACAGUUUUAACAUUGGCAAUGGCUGAUUCACAUAUGUACAAUUCGACCUUAAUAUGUAUCUUAAUGUAAAUGUCAGAUUUCAGUGAACUUUGACAAAAAUCAAAAUGGUAUAGAAUAUUCAGAUGGAGUAAAACUACAGUUCUGAACGAAAUAUCAAAUUAUUUAAAAAAUUAAAACAACAUGUAAUCAAUUGCAUGCGUCAGACGCACUCUACCUAGACUUGCCUUCAUCCGGAA